rnacentral:rRNA from 1 species
UACGUAGGGGCGAGCGUUGUCCGAAUUUACUGGGCGUAAAGCGCGCGUAGGCGGUUUCUUAAGUCUGGGGUGAAAGGUUCAACGCUCAACGUGAACAGUGCCUUGGAUACUGGGAGACUUGAGUCUGGGAGGGGUAGUGGAAUUCCUGGUGUAGCGGUGAAAUGCGUAGAUAUCAGGAGGAACACCGGUGGCGAAGGCGGCUACCUGGCCUAAGACUGACGCUGAGGUGCGAAAGCGUGGGGAGCGAACGGGAUUAGAAACCCUGUAGU